GAACUUUGAUCUCUGGUUCCCCUUCCAAAUUCUCAUAGUGCGUGGCUGGGAUGAGGGCGGCGCUCACGGUGAGGAAGCCCCGAGCUCCCGGGACGCAGACAGGGUGUGCAGGGCCGUAGCUCGGGCCUGUGUAUGCACCUGUGCGUGUGUGUUUGAUGCCAGGACAAGGCGGCGGUGUGCGCGGCGAGGAGGCUGCGACAGCUGUAUAGACCCCAGCUGCAGUGAAAUGGCCAUCAAAAAGGGAAGGGAUAAUCGAGUGGUGGAAUAAAAUCUGCAAACAGAAAAAGGACAGACCUGUUUUCGGAACGAGGCUUUUCGAGUUACCACCAUGACUGAAGGCUAAGAGCAACUUGCUUGCGCAUUAAAGAUCACUUGGAGAGAGAGGUCCAGUGAGCAACAACGGCCAGAAAUUUCAGGGAGACCAUCUUGAACCAUCCAGCCUCCACCAGGCCAACAGCUGACAGCUGUCACAUGAAUAUGAUCAGCAGAAGAACCACUCAGGCAAGCCAAGCCCAAAUUGCCAAGCCCCCCAAAUAAUAAGCUAAUUGUUUUUUGUUUUAAGCCAUAAACUUUUGAGGUGGUUAUAUAGCAAUAAAUAACUGAAACAGGUGUUUAACUUUCUAGACUUUUUAAAUGACCAUAUUGAUAUAAUUGUAUUGUUCAACCUGUUUUGUAAAGUGAUUUCUCUGAUACAGUAUCUUGAAAAUAUUCCUUAACUAUUUUCUACAACUUUGCAUUUGUCUAUCUUAGUAUUAUAUUACAUGGAUAUGUGGUAACUUAUUUAACUACUAACUUCCCUUUGCAAUUCCUUUUCCUUGCUGUCUAGCUCCCAUGUCUUGACCAACUUUGCAUUCCCCUCCAGGACCUUAUGGGCACAUGGGUUCCUAUCAUUUCACGGGUAUGUAGACUCAGGAAUGUGGCAUUGACUUCUGGGUGGAGUACAGAUGACUGACACCCCCACCCCGAUUCGGAGGAAUUAUUCAGGGGUGUGAUAUAACACCUACAUACAUUUAUUUAACUAGCCAAUUUGGUCUCCCCUUUUUUUGUUUUGAGACCGAGUCUUGCUCUGUCGCCCAGGCUGGAGUGCAGUGGCGUGAUCUCGACUUACUGCAACCUCCGCCUCCCAGGUUCAAGGGAUUCUCCUGCCUCAGCCUUCCGAGUAGCUGAGACUACAGGUGCCCACCACCAUGUCCGGAUAAUUUUUGUAUUUUUAGUAGACAUGGGGUUUCGCCAAGUUGGCCAGGCUGGUCUCAAACUCCUGACCUCACGUGAUCUGCCUGCCUCAGUCUCCCAAAGUGUUGGGAUUACAGGCAUGAGCCACCUCGGCCAGCCGGGUCUCCCUUUUUACAUCUGUUUUCCCCUUUCCAGUUCAAAUUCUGUAUUCUGGGAACAUCUUACUUUCUUCACCCUGAUUGAUUAGGGAAACUUCAGGGUUCUUAGGUAACUUUCUGAAGGACUGGUUUAAGAUUCCUAGAGUUGGAAAUGGGCGUCUCUCCUGUGUUAUUUCUAAAGUGUUAUCAUCCUAAUCCUUCAGAAUACUUUCUUGACUUCUUUCUGCUUGAUGAUUAAGGAAUGGUCUCAAUUCUCCAUAGCCACAUCAGACCAAAAUUCCAUUUCUUUGCCUAUGUGAAGGGUUUAUUAUUAAUUACCCUAUUAAUUUAUGUCCAAACCAGAUGUGAUUUCCUUCUUGGAGCAAUAGUUCGUGAAGAGGUUGGUUAACAGCAGUUCUGUGCCCAGGUAAAUGAGAGGCAACUGAUAAGAGGAACUCGUUGUGUAUAAAAUCUUAGGAUUCUAGAUUUAGGACCUUUAAGGCAGUAUUUGAAUUAGUGCUCUGGAAUGUCUAUGAAGAAAGUUUGGGUCUCUUCAGCCAGAAUUCAGACCAUUUCAACAUUGCAUUCCAUGUAUCAUACACAUAUCUCCUUUUAUUAUUAUUUUUUCUGCUCUCAAAGCAGAUUUCUCUCAUUGUAAAAUUAGUAGAUUCUUAAUUCAGAAGAUUGGAGAAUAUUAAAAAAAGCUUAAAGUAAAGCACUUUGAACACUUUAUUCCAAAUCACUUCACCUCAUUUGUGAAUAAGUGCAUGGAUAUAGGCUUAUAGGACUUUUUCAUUCAAAACAGGGUUAUAUAACAAUUGUUUUGAAAUCUACUUGUUUCUUCUAACAAAAUAUAGUGAACAAAUUUUCAUGUCACUAAAUUAUGAACUGUGUCAUAAUCUUUUAAUGGCUGCACUGUUCUGUUUGUAUAUGUAAGUUCUUUCCAGCUUUUUCCCAUUAUAUGCAAUGUUUUACUGCAUAUGCCUUUUCUGUGCACAUGUGAAUUGUAUAUUUUGGAUAGUCUUAGAUAUUUUGCUGAGAAUGAGGUUUUCAUAGUUAAAACCUGUUUACACAUCUAUAUCAAUUGCCCUGAUUAAGUUUGCACCAAUAUUCAACAUACUAUGAGAAUGUCUAUUCGCUACUAUAUGGUAUCAUUAGUCUUUUAUUAUUAUUUUAUUUUAUUAUUAUUAUUAUUUGAGACAGAGUCUCACUCUUGUUGCCAGGCUAGAGUGCAGUGGCAUGAUCUCGGCUUACUGCAACCCCCGCCUCCAAGGUUCCAGCAAUUCCCCCACCUCAGCCUCCCAAGUAGCUGGGACUACAAGGCGCAUGUCACCACGCAUGGCUAAUUUUUGGUUUUUAGUAGAGACGGGGUUUCACCAUGUUGGCCAGGAUGGUCUCCAUCUCCUGACCUUGUGAUCCGUCUGCCUUGGCCUCCCAAAGUGCUGGGAUUACAGGCGUGAGCCAUUGCACCUGGCCAUCAUUAGUCUUUUAAAUCCACCAAUCCAGUAGAAAUUAUAUUUAUUUAAAUGAAUUACCCAUGCACAGGUUUCAUUCAGUGUAAUAAAAUAUGGGCUUCAGAAACAAAAACCAGAACUGAAAGAAAAUUGGUUUUGUAGGUAGAAAAAUGUGAUUUAAAAAUGCAGAUAUGCCAUUUAUUUUGAGGGUGUAUAGCUCACCCCUGUAAUCCCAGCACUUUCGGAGGCUGAGACGGGUGGAACACUUGAGCCCAGGAGUUUGAGACCAGCCUGGGCAAUAUGGUGAAACCCCGUAUCUACUAAAAAUACAAAAAAUUAGCUGGGUGUGGUGGUGCACCUGUAGUCCUAGCUACUUGGGAGGCUGAGAUGGGAGGAUCACCUGAGCCCAAGGAUAUUGAGGCUGUAGUGAGCCGUGAUUGUGCCAAUGCACUCCAACCUGAGCGUUGGAGUGAGACCAUGCCUCAAAAAAACAAAAACAAAAAACUCUUAAAAUCGAGGGAAAGACCCAAAAACCCGAUAGAAAAAGUGAGUAAAAGAAAUGAACACAUGAAAUCACACACACACAGACACACACACACACAAAGAGAGAGAGAGGAAGCACAAAUUUUAAAAUUAUAGCGUGCUGGCUUUUUAAAAAAAUAAACCCAGCUGGGUGUGGUGGCUCACGCCUGUAAUCCCAGCACUUUGGGAGGCUGACAUGGGCGGAUCACGAGGUCAGGAGAUUGAGACCAUCCUGGCUAACAUGGUGAAACCCUGUCUCUACUAAAAAUACAAAAAAUUAGCUGGGCGUGGUGGAGGGCACCUGUAGUCCCAGCUACUCGGGAGGCUGAGGGAGGAGAAUGGCGUGAACCUGGGAGGUGGAGCUUGCAGUGAGCCAAGAUGGUGCCGCUGCUCCCCAGCUUGGGCGGCAGAGUGAG
ensembl:lncRNA ZNF567-DT ZNF567 divergent transcript